ensembl:lncRNA
UCCAUCUAUGGUGAAAGGUGACAGAUAGUGGUGUUUGUCAGACCAGGAGAGAUUCCAUCUAUGGUGAAAGGUGACAGAUAGUGGUGUUUGUCAGACCAGGAGAGAUUCCAUCUACGGUGAAAGGUGACAGCUAGAGCGGUGUUUGUCAGACCAGGAGAGAUUCCAUCUACGGUGAAAGGUGACAGCUAGAGCGGUGUUUGUCAGGCCAGGAGAGAUUCCAUCUACGGUGACAGGUGACAGCUAGAGCGGUGUUUGUCAGACCAGGAGAGAUUCCAUCUACGGUGAAAGGUGACAGCUAGAGCGGUGUUUGUCAGACCAGGAGAGAUUCCAUCUACGGUGAAAGGUGACAGCUAGAGCGGUGUUUGUCAGGCCAUGAGACAACACAAAAAUCUGUCUUCUCACAAAAUUGCCUUUAGCAUCCGAACGGUUUUGCUCUGACUCCCACAAGCAUCUUGGGACUCAUCUGAAUUCGGUAGAGCUGAUCUGCCAACUACUGUCUCUCCGAACAGUUUGGACCCCUCCUGGAAAGGUGAGAUUCAAGACUCGUCUGAAGGUCCCCCGGCACCAGUUGAAAAAAUGUAUGGAAGUGUAUAUGGAGUCUGUUUCGUGCCAAAAAU